GCCGGAAUAGCUCAGUCGGUAGAGCAGAGGACUGAA
rnacentral:tRNA from 2 species